rnacentral:rRNA from 1 species
CUGCCCGGUGAAUUUUUUAACGGCCGCGGUACUCUGACCGUGCAAAGGUGAACUCAGUUGCCUUAUAAUUGAAGGCUAGAACGAAUGGUUUACGAGAAUACAACUGUCUCUUUACAAUUACAUAAAAUUUUAUCUGCAGUUGAAGAAACCUGCAUUUGAAUAACUUNUAAUAAGACCCUAUCGAGCUUAAAAAAAACUGGUGGAAUAACAAACUUAAUCCUAACUUAUAAAUAAAUAAAUAAUCAACUACUGGAAAUUUUGGUUGGGGCGACCGGGGAACAAAAAAAAUUUCCUUUAUAAAAAUUUAAAUGCCCAAAUAUUGAUCCACCAUUAUAUGAUUAAAGAAAUUAGUUACCGUAAGGAUAACAGCAUUAUCUUUUUUAAUAGUUCUUAUCUAAAAAAUUGUUUGUGACCUCAAUGUUGGACCAAAAUAUCCUAAAUAUGCAGCCGUCUUUAAGGGUUGGUCUGUUCAACCAUUAAAAUUCUAC